rnacentral:rRNA from 1 species
UUACCCUACGGGGGGCAGCAGUGGGGAAUAUUGCACAAUGGGCGCAAGCCUGAUGCAUCCAUGCCGCGUGUAUGAAGAAGGCCUUCGGGUUGUAAAGUACUUUCAGCGGGGAGGAAGGGAGUAAAGUUAAUACCUUUACUCAUUGACGUUACCCGCAGAAGAAGCACCGGCUAACUCCGUGCCAGCAGCCGCGGUAAUACGAAGGGGGCAAGCGUUGUUCGGAAUUACUGGGCGUAAA